UUGUUUUGGAUUUCCAGCAUCCACAGUUUUUUGCUUUUAUCUUGCCUGAAGUCCAUAUGGCAGGCCUUUGAUUGAGUUUUUAAAAAACUUUUCUGCUCUCACAAUGACUGCAAUCCUCCAACAGGUCAUUUCAAAACAAACUAUUGAGAAAUCCAAAUGCAGAGAUUCAGUUCCCUUUCUGACUGGUACUUGCUGGUUUCAAAAUAAAAGUUGUGUGGGCCAAGCUUAUGGUUGUGUUUCUUUUAGGAAAUUAGCUGCUCUACGCAUUCAACACGAGUUAGAUUUUUCCAACACGAGUUAGAUUUUUCCAAGAGUUUCCAGCACUGAUUGGAGGGAGUCCUGAAGAUUUGAUCUCAUGAUGUUCUGAUCAGAAGAUUCAGGUGCCAGUGAAAGCCCUGUCAGACAAGGAACCAUGGCAGGAGGUAUCUGACUUCCAGUCAUUAUCAUGGUCCUGGAACCACAGAGGUAUGGUGGAAGUAGUGCAAGGAGAAUGAUCAGCAGUCUGAGGAGCCGCUACCUCCAACUACAAUGAGGGAACGCUCUUCCAUAGCCACAGAGGGCAUUGAGAUGGCCUACACGAAGAAAGAUGAGAAAGAAGCGCCGAGGAGACAAAUACAAUGUUUAUCCACCCCACGAGAAAUGUUUUACAGUAGCAGCAAUCAUUGAUCAAUGCAAUUGCCGAACCAACUAACUAUUGUUCAAGAUGAAGCAAUGGAAGAAAAGAACAAAAGCAUACACAAAUGCCAGCCUAAUGUCCAAGCCAACAAGAAGAACCAGAACCAACAGAGCCUACCCCACUCCUCUGACAGAGCAGCAAAUAAGAUAUGAAAGGGCUAUAAAGCCUCCAGAAUGCCUCAACCUAUAAACUCAAGGACUUGAAGGAGGGAGAUGGGGUAGUGAUAAUAUUGUAGUCGUCAUAAUGUAGUAAUCGCAAUAAUGUGGUAACAGCAAUGUAAAUGCAUGAGACUGCUAACAAUGUAAAACAUGGAGUAAACCCAGUGUAGCUUCAUAUACAUUAGAUAAAAACUUGGGGACAGGUGUAGUGCAAGGGCCUAGCACAUACAGGGUUAGUGGGGACUGAGUUUAGUACCACCCACACUGUGAUGUAAGAAGGCACAUGAUGCAGCCCUAAGGUCAAUGUGCUGUUGAGCAGAGACGUGUAGAAACCUAGACAUGGAGAUAGUUCCUUGCCUGUACCCUUUACUAUUUCUAUGUAUACAGUUUCAUGUAGUUAAUAAAAACUUGUUAACCUACUGGAGACUAUAAGGAUUUCUUUAAGAGACACCAUUCUGUAACCAAUGCCCUAGCGCCUGACAAAUAGCUGCAGAAAUGUUGCGGUGAAUGGCUGGCCAAAGGUUACAAAGUAGGGAAUUUGAAAGUGCAAUUGUCAGAGACUUGGGGAAUAAUUUUUCUAGUGGUGAACACAGAUGAAUCUGGUUUUGGGAAGGGGAACAGAGGUGUGGAUGGAGACUGAGACAAUGAAGUCAUCAGAGAUGACCAUAUCUGUGUUUUACACAAUGAGAGUGGCAAGGUCACAUGGCAAGGUGAAUGGCUUGCUACGCAUAUGGUUAGGGGGAGUUUACAUGGAAGGAGACAUUAAAGGGAUGAUAGGACGUCAGUACGUUCAGAGGAAGGGAAGGUGCAAGAAGGCUAAGGGAAAAUUUUCUGAUAAAAGUCAGACUGCAACCACAGUGAUUUGGGUGGGGCAAUUAGUAAAUGGUGCAGCCAAGUGGGGAUGCUUCAUUCAGGGGAAAGUUGCUAAUGGUAGAUUGAUUAUCUUGUUAAAGAUUCACAAGUGCUGGGCAUUGUUUGAUUAGGGACUGAGAGCACAUAUAAAGAGGGUCUACCGCUUUAAGGGUCUGUUAUCUUGUUCAUUUGUUUACUUCUUAUUGCUUUACUCAAAAGAGUAUAAAGAGGGACUGUGGGGACACUGGGUUAAUAGUUAGGAAGCAAAGA